GGAGUCGGGCUUUGGGGCCGGGAGUCUGCACCGGGGAGAGGAGGUCCUGCCGCCUCAGGCCUUUCUCGCUCUCCUGAGAGAAAAGAGCCUUCCUCGCCCGCCCCCAGCCGCGGUUAAAGGCAGGAGCCGGGCUUAGGUAGAGGGGGCCAGGGCUGUCUGAACGGAAGAUGGGUGGGGGGAUCCGGAUAUCCAUGGGUCACGGCCCGGGCGUCCGACUGGCGAUCGGAAUUAGCCAUCUGCCUUUGUAGCCGCCAAAGUCCUUGGCAGCCCUUCCCCAGGUGGCAACCCGUGUGUCACCGGGUUAGGGGAGGCGGGGGGUCCGCCCCUCACCUGCCCAUUCAUUCUUUCGGCGUCUGCAGUGAGCCCGGCCGCGGUGAAAACUUAAAUGGACCACAUGUGCUUUAUCACCAUGGAGAUCCUGGGGAAUCACCUGAGCACCAGGGCCACAUGUAUUCUCUCUGGGAGGCGUCUACUGGACAACAGACCCUCUCAGAUGUGAACUUUAAUAAAGGUGGAUUCUUAUCUACUGGACCACCGGGAAGUCCAA